UACGGAGGGGGCGAGCGUUAUUCGGAAUUAUUGGGCGUAAAGGGCGCGUAGGCGGCCCCUUAAGUCAAAGGUGAAAUCCCUCGGCUCAACUGAGGAACUGCCUUUGAAACUGAUGGGCUUGAGGCCGGGAGGGGGUAGCGGAAUUCCCAGUGUAGCGGUGAAAUGCGCAGAUAUCAGGAGGAACACCGGUGGCGAAGGCGGGUCUCUGGGCAACAACUGACGCUGAGGAGCGAAAGCGUGGGGAGCGAACAGG
rnacentral:rRNA from 1 species